rnacentral:rRNA from 1 species
UACGUAGGGUGCGAGCGUUAAUCGGAAUUACUGGGCGUAAAGCGUGCGCAGGCGGUUUUGUAAGCCCGAUGUGAAAGCCCCGGGCUUAACCUGGGAAUGGCAUUUGGGACUGCAAGGCUUGAGUGCGGCAGAGGAGACUGGAAUUCCUGGUGUAGCAGUGAAAUGCGUAGAUAUCGUAAGGAACGCCAGUGGCGAAAGCGAAUCUCUGGGCAGCAACUGACGCUGAGGCACGAAGGCCAGGGGAGCAAACGGG